GACAAUGUGGCAUAGUGGUUUGAGCUUUGGACUAUGAUUCUGGAGACCAAAGUUCAAAUCCUCAUUUGGCCA